CAGCAGCAGCCGCGGUAAUACGAAGGGUGCAAGCGUUAAUCGGAAUUACUGGGCGUAAAGCGUGCGUAGGCGGUUUGUUAAGUCUGUUGUGAAAUCCCCGGGCUCAACCUGGGAAUGGCAAUGGAUACUGGCAAGCUAGAGUGUGUCAGAGGAUGGUGGAAUUCCCGGUGUAGCGGUGAAAUGCGUAGAGAUCGGGAGGAACAUCAGUGGCGAAGGCGGCCAUCUGGGACAACACUGACGCUGAGGCACGAAACCGUGGGGAGCAAACAGGAUUAGAGACCCCCGUAGUCCCUGUCUCUUAUAC
rnacentral:rRNA from 1 species